CUAAUACAUGCAAGUCGAACGAAACUUUCUUACACCGAAUGCUUGCAUUCACCGUAAGAAGUUGAGUGGCGGACGGGUGAGUAACACGUGGGUAACCUGCCUAAAAGAAGGGGAUAACACUUGGAAACAGGUGCUAAUACCGUAUAUCUCUAAGGAUCGCAUGAUUCUUAGAUGAAAGAUGGUUCUGCUAUCGCUUUUAGAUGGACCCGCGGCGUAUUAACUAGUUGGUGGGGUAACGGCCUACCAAGGUGAUGAUACGUAGCCGAACUGAGAGGUUGAUCGGCCACAUUGGGACUGAGACACGGCCCAAACUCCUACGGGAGGCAGCAGUAGGGAAUCUUCCACAAUGGACGCAAGUCUGAUGGAGCAACGCCGCGUGAGUGAAGAAGGUCUUCGGAUCGUAAAACUCUGUUGUUAGAGAAGAACACGAGUGAGAGUAACUGUUCAUUCGAUGACGGUAUCUAACCAGCAAGUCACGGCUAACUACGUGCCAGCAGCCGCGGUAAUACGUAGGUGGCAAGCGUUGUCCGGAUUUAUUGGGCGUAAAGGGAACGCAGGCGGUCUUUUAAGUCUGAUGUGAAAGCCUUCGGCUUAACCGGAGUAGUGCAUUGGAAACUGGAAGACUUGAGUGCAGAAGAGGAGAGUGGAACUCCAUG
rnacentral:rRNA from 1 species